UACGUAGGGGGCAAGCGUUGUCCGGAUUUACUGGGCGUAAAGAGCGUGUAGGCGGCCAAACAGGUCCGUUGUGAAAACUGGAGGCUCAACCUCCAGACGUCGACGGAAACCGUGUGGCUAGAGUCCGGAAGAGGAGAGUGGAAUUCCUGGUGUAGCGGUGAAAUCCGUUGAUAUCAUGGGGAACACCAAAAGCGAAGGCAGUACAUUGGGCCACUCCUGACACUGAAGCACGAAAGCGUGGGUAGCGAAUGGG
rnacentral:rRNA from 1 species